UGCUUAUCAACAGAUGGUCAGUUGCUUAUCAACAGAUGGUCAGUUGCUUAUCAACAGACGGUCCGUCGCUUAUCAACUGACGGUCAGUUGCUUAUCAACAGGCGGUCAGUUGCUUAUCAACAGACGGUCAGUUGCUUGUCACCGGACGGUCAGUUGCUUAUCGACAGACGGCCAGUUGCUUAUCGACAGACGGUCGGUUGCUUAUCAACGGACGGUCGGUUGCUUAUCAACGGACGGUCAGUUGCUUAUCGACGGCUGGUCUGUUGUUAGUAUCUACAGACGGUCAGUUGCUUAUCAACAGACGGUCUGUUGCUAGUAUCUACAGACGGCCAGUUGCUUAUCAACAGACGGUCAGCUGUUGGCAUCUACAGACGGCCUGUUGCUUAUCAACAGCCGGUCAGUUGCUAGUAUCUACAGACGGUCUGUUGCUAGUAUCUACAGACGGUCAGUUGCUUAUCUACAGACGGUCUGUUGCUGGUAUCUACAGACGGUCUGUUGCUAGUAUCUACCGACGGUCAGUUGCUUAUCAACAGACGGUCCGUCGCUUAUCAACUGACGGUCAGUUGCUUAUCAACAGACGGUCAGUUGCUUAUCAACAGACGGUCAGUUGCUUAUCGACAGACGGUCAGUUGCUUAUCGACAGACGGCCUGUUGCUGGUAUCUACAGACGGCCUGUUGCUGGUAUCUACAGACGGUCAGUUGCUUAUUGACAGACGGUCUGUUGCUUAUUGACAGACGGUCUGUUGCUUAUCGACAGACGGUCAGUUGCUUAUCGACAGACGGUCUGUUGCUAGUAUCUACAAUGUGACCAAAGUCCUGAAUGAGCUUUUUACCCUUUUCACUUUUUAAGAAGUUGCUUUCACAAUCAUGUAAACAGUCAAAUACGUUGUAUCCAUCUAUGCAAAACCCGGUGCAGAUAUUUUUGAUAAGUGUUGAUAAGAAAAUACGUUUCUACUGAUUUUGUAAUGACGUUUUGUUUUCUAGUUUUUAUAGAGAUGAAGAAUUCAUCAGUGUUUUUUAAAACCACGUAUAAACUCUCAGGCGGGUAGGCCUGAAUUAACUAUGUAGGUAGUCAUAACCAUUCCAUUACUGAUUUGGAUUUCAUUGUGUUUCUUCAUGCAGGCAGUGACUAAUAGCCUGUUGUAUUUCCAAGACUGUAACAUGUUCUUAAUGUAAUAUGUAUUGAAUUUAAUACAGACAGAACAUAUUCAGAUGAGAGUAUUUCACAGCAGCAAGACGAGUCGUGCUUCACCAAUUCUCUGUUACUGCACAGUUGAAUUAAUUUAAUAGCACAUACACCAACUCUGACACUUUCGAUUGAGCCAGUCUGAAAAGUGUUUUAAUCAACUGCUACCUAAAAUGGUUGCUUGGCAACACAAUUUCUACCAUCUGUUUUGCAUGAUUUUUUUCCCUUUUCCCAGCUGUAUCUGAAAACAAACUGGAUACAUUUUGAUUGCAGAGGAGUAAACAACCAUUUAGCUGGUUAAACAUUUUUUAAAAGCUGUUUAAUAAAACACUUUCUAUC
ensembl:lncRNA